rnacentral:rRNA from 1 species
AUUGCCUCAGUAACGGCGAGUGAAGCGCCAACAGCUCAAAUUUGAAAUCUGGUCCCAGGCCCGAGUUGUAAUUUGCAGAGGAUGCUUUUGGCAAGGUGCCUUCCGAGUUCCCUGGAACGGGACGCCAUAGAGGGUGAGAGCCCCGUCUGGUCGGACACCAAGCCUAUGUAAAGCUCCUUCGACGAGUCGAGUAGUUUGGGAAUGCUGCUCUAAAUGGGAGGUAUAUGUCUUCUAAAGCUAAAUACCGGCCAGAGACCGAUAGCGCACAAGUAGAGUGAUCGAAAGAUGAAAAGCACUUUGAAAAGAGAGUUAAACAGCACGUGAAAUUGUUGAAAGGGAAGCGUUUAUGACCAGACUUGGCCCGGUUGAUCAUCCAGCGUUCUCGCUGGUGCACUCUGCCGGUCCAGGCCAGCAUCAGUUCGCUGCGGGGGAUAAAGGUUUCGGGAAUGUGGCUCCUCCGGGAGUGUUAUAGCCCGUUGCGUAAUACCCUGCGGUGGACUGAGGUCCGCGCUUCUGCAAGGAUGCUGGCGUAAUGGUCAUCAACGACCCGUCUUGAAACACGGACCAAGGAGUCGUCUUCGUAUGCGAGUGUUCGGGUGUAAAACCCCUACGCGUAAUGAAAGUGAACGCAGGUGAGAGCUUCGGCGCAUCAUCGACCGAUCCUGAUGUUCUCGGAUGGAUUUGAGUAAGAGCAUACGGGGCCGGACCCGAAAGAAGGUGAACUAUGCCUGUAUAGGGUGAAGCCAGAGGAAACUCUGGUGGAGGCUCGCAGCGGUUCUGACGUGCAAAUCGAUCGUCAAAUAUGGGCAUGGGGGCGAAAGACUAAU